UACGUAGGGGGCAAGCGUUGUCCGGAAUCAUUGGGCGUAAAGAGCGUGUAGGCGGCUUGGUAAGUCCGCUGUGAAAGUCCAGGGCUCAACCCUGGAAAGCCAGUGGAAACUGCCAAGCUAGAGUCCGGAAGAGGCGAGUGGAACUCCUGGUGUAGCGGUGAAAUGCGCAGAUAUCAGGAAGAACACCAACGGCGAAGGCAGCUCGCUGGGACGGAACUGACGCUAAGGCGCGAAAGCGUGGGGAGCGAACAGG
rnacentral:rRNA from 1 species